rnacentral:rRNA from 1 species
AAGACCUUGCGCUUUUGGAGCGGCCGAUGCCUGAUUAGCUUGUUGGUAAGGUAAAAGCUUACCAAGGCUUCGAUCAGUAGCUGGUCUGAGAGGACGGCCAGCCACACUGGGACUGAGACACGGCCCAGACUCCUACGGGAGGCAGCAGUGGGGAAUUUUGGACAAUGGGGGCAACCCUGAUCCAGCCAUGCCGCGUGAGUGAAGAAGGCCUUCGGGUUGUAAAGCUCUUUCAGCCGGAACGAAACGGUUACGGUUAAUACCCGUGAUUACUGACGGUACCGGAAGAAGAAGCACCGGCUAACUACGUGCCAGCAGCCCCGGUAAUACGUAGGGUGCGAGCGUUAAUCGGAAUUACUGGGCGUAAAGCGUGCGCAGGUGGUUUUGUAAGUCAGAUGUGAAAGCCCCGGGCUCAACCUGGGAACU